rnacentral:rRNA from 1 species
GACGAACGCUGGCGGCGUGCCUAAUACAUGCAAGUAGAACGCUGAAGGAGGAGCUUGCUUCUCUGGAUGAGUUGCGAACGGGUGAGUAACGCGUAGGUAACCUGCCUGGUAGCGGGGGAUAACUAUUGGAAACGAUAGCUAAUACCGCAUAAGAGUAGAUGUUGCAUGACAUUUGCUUAAAAGGUGCAAUUGCAUCACUACCAGAUGGACCUGCGUUGUAUUAGCUAGUUGGUGGGGUAACGGCUCACCAAGGCGACGGUACAUAGCCGACCUGAGAGGGUGGUCGGCCACACUGGGACUGGGACCAGGCCCAGACUCCUACGGGAGGGAGCAGUAGGGGAACUUCGGCAAUGGACGGAAGUCUGACCGAGCAACGCCGCGUGGGGGGAGAAGGUUUUCGGAUCGGAAAGCUCUGUUGUAAGAGAAGAACGAGUGUGAGAGUGGAAAGUUCACACUGUGACGGUAUCUUACCAAAAAGCAACGGCUAACUACGUG